GAUGAACGCUGGCGGCGUGCCUAAUACAUGCAAGUCGAGCGAACAGACGAGGAGCUUGCUCCUCUGACGUUAGCGGCGGACGGGUGAGUAACACGUGGAUAACCUACCUAUAAGACUGGGAUAACUUCGGGAAACCGGAGCUAAUACCGGAUAACAUGUUGAACCGCAUGGUUCAACAGUGAAAGACGGUUUUGCUGUCACUUAUAGAUGGAUCCGCGCCGCAUUAGCUAGUUGGUAAGGUAACGGCUUACCAAGGCAACGAUGCGUAGCCGACCUGAGAGGGUGAUCGGCCACACUGGAACGGAGACACGGUCCAGACUCCUACGGGAGGCAGCAGUAGGGAAUCUUCCGCAAUGGGCGAAAGCCUGACGGAGCAACGCCGCGUGAGUGAAGAAGGUCUUCGGAUCGUAAAACUCUGUUAUUAGGGAAGAACAAAUGUGUAAGUAACUAUGCACGUCUUGACGGUACCUAAUCAGAAAGCCACGGCUAACUACGUG
rnacentral:rRNA from 1 species